AACGUAGGACGCGAGCGUUAUCCGGAGUACUGGGCGUAAAGCGCGGGCAGGCGGUCUGACAAGUCUGAUGUGAAAUCACCCGGCUCAACCGGGCGAGGCCAUUGGAAACUGACAGGCUGGAGGGCAGUAGAGGUAGGCGGAAUUCCGGGUGGAGUGGUGAAAUGCGUAGAGAUCCGGAGGACACCAGAGGCGAAGGCGGCCUACUGGGCUGCACCUGACGCUGAGCCGCGAAAGCCGGGGA
rnacentral:rRNA from 1 species